AUUGAACGCUGGCGGCAGGCCUAACACAUGCAAGUCGAGCGGAUGAAGGGAGCUUGCUCCUGGAUUCAGCGGCGGACGGGUGAGUAAUGCCUAGGAAUCUGCCUUGUAGUGGGGGAUAACGUCCGGAAACGGGCGCUAAUACCGCAUACGUCCUGAGGGAGAAAGUGGGGGAUCUUCGGACCUCACGCUAUCAGAUGAGCCUAGGUCGGAUUAGCUAGUUGGUGGGGUAAAGGCCUACCAAGGCGACGAUCCGUAACUGGUCUGAGAGGAUGAUCAGUCACACUGGAACUGAGACACGGUCCAGACUCCUACGGGAGGCAGCAGUGGGGAAUAUUGGACAAUGGGCGAAAGCCUGAUCCAGCCAUGCCGCGUGUGUGAAGAAGGUCUUCGGAUUGUAAAGCACUUUAAGUUGGGAGGAAGGGCAGUAAGUUAAUACCUUGCUGUUUUGACGUUACCAACAGAAUAAGCACCGGCUAACUUCGUG
rnacentral:rRNA from 1 species